UCUCUCGGAUUGACGGUAGGUGGAGAAGAAGCACCGGCCAACUACGUGCCAGCAGUCGCGGUAAUACGUAGGGUGCGAGCGUUGUCCGGAAUUACUGGGCGUAAAGAGCUCGUAGGUGGUUUGUCGCGUUGUUCGUGAAAUCUCACGGCUUAACUGUGAGCGUGCGGGCGAUACGGGCAGACUAGAGUACUGCAGGGGAGACUGGAAUUCCUGGUGUAGCGGUGGAAUGCGCAGAUAUCAGGAGGAACACCGGUGGCGAAGGCGGGUCUCUGGGCAGUAACUGACGCUGAGGAGCGAAAGCGUGGGGAGCGAACAGGAUUAGAUACCCUGGUAGUCCACGCCGUAAACGGUGGGUACUAGGUGUGGGUUUCCUUCCUU
rnacentral:rRNA from 1 species